GCCUUAAGGUCCCUCCUUAAUGGGGCUGAACUAGCAUGUCUAAGCUGAAUAUGGUUUGAAGUGGUUGAACUGUGAGAAAAGCUUAGGCCUGUAGCUUGAUGGCCCUGUCUCCUCAAUAAGAAAAGUAAAACUGUUGAGUUAAGAUGAGGAUCUGUGUUUCAUCACAGAUGAACAGGGGCAGUUGCUUUCUCCUUGUUGUGCGUCGCCCAGAGCCAUUUGGAUAGGGCGGUAUAUAAAUAUAUGAAAGAAAUAAUAAUAAUAAUAGCUUAUAAGUUAUAAGAGCCACCACUUUAAAAGGUGCUUUUUAAUUAUUGCUGGGUUUGCCACUUCCUAGAUAACUACUUUGUUGUUGUUUGAAAACAUAAAAUUAAUUUUCUGCAAAUUAAACCAAAACUCCCACCCCUUCAACAGUUUGUGGAGAAUGUGGGUGCUCACUCCCAGCCUGUCGAGAGCACAUUCUCUUUGCCCCUGCCUCACUGAAAUGCAGCAUGAGGCGGGGAGAGCAGAGAUAGGCCAGCCGGAUAGGCAGACGGGGCCUUCAGGCCAUUGUAGAGCUCUUGUACUAGCUCUCUCAGUUGCAUUUUGAGAAGCGAGCAGAAAGUGCCACUCUGGUGCCUGAUCCUGACAACUUGACAGAGUCCUUCAACACCAGCACCAUUGCCAGCAGAGGGGAGUCAGCCUGUGGAUCUUGGCUCAGGACCUGGCCAGCUGGAGCAGCAUGCCGGGGUGUUGGUUGUUGGACACUUGAUUGUGUUGUGUGUCCCAGCUGCUUCCAUGAGCCCGCUUGUUAGUCCACAACUCUGCUUGAGCCAGUUUGCUGUGAUCUCAUGGAUCAGCAAGAGGGGUAUGCUCUUCAGUCGGCGGUUGCCUGCAGUUUGGGAAUUCCUGGAGCCUAACCAGCCCCUGGACAUUUUCUUAGUUCAUCUUGUGGGGGUGGAUAACCUGGUUAGUAAGUUAGGACUGGCCUUCUCCUCUGGGGUGUGUCAGGAUCUGGAGGUAUUGCAGGAUUGGAUCCCAGGAGUUUUGCUUUUAUGGCCUGUGUGCUCCACUGCCACAUUUAGCAUGGAGCCUUGUGGCCUAGAAAGGUUGACAAGGCCUGGGCAAAGAUUAACUGAGCCCUGAGCAAGUUUGUUUCAGUUCCAGGAGAUGGGGUUAUGCCUCACCACAAUAUCUGCCACAUUCAGCCAGAAUUAUUCAGGGGAGAUGGGGUUCAUUUGUCCUACAAAGGGUGUGAUAUUUUCUUGGCUGAAUUGCGUAGAGGGUUGGCUUUUGUCUUGUGGGUGGUGGAAGGAGCCAAGCUAGGCUGGCCCUUCCUUGUGGCAGGUACAGUGCGGCUUCUGAAGUAGUAUAAGGCUGGUGAACACCUUAAGGCAUGUGUUUGGUUUAAAGAGGGGUCCUCGACAGUCCCUAGAUGCUUUAGGGCAGGAAUUCUCAAUGUGUGGAUCCCCAGAUGUAAUUGGACUUCAACUCCCAUAAUUCACAUCCAAAGGCACUGGGGCUGGGGAUUAUGGGAGUUGAAGUCCAAUAACAUCUGGGGAGCCACAUGUUGAGAAACUCUGCUUUAGAGCACAGGGAGCGCUGUCCAGGAUUCUCUCUAAUCUGUGGGAGGAUUGCUAACCUUAAAUGCUACAUGGCGUGAGAGGGGCAAAUCCUUUAAGCAGGUGCCUUGGCACUAGGUUGGCAAAGAUAGACAGCAGAUGACUUGGGGCUGAUGCUUUCUUCAGCCAAGGUGUGUCGCCCUAAGCUAUUAUGCGGAACUUGCGCUUCCGCUAGUUCCUAGCUUCCGCACUGUAGGGGGUGGAAAGCCAAUCAUCUUCUACCUUUCAGCCUUUUUGAAUAAAACUGUGGCCCAGUUUAACUCCAAAAUACAUGCUUUGUGUCUACGUUGGCGGGGUUUUGCAAAUCUAAUCCUCUCGGUUACAGGACUACAAAACAAUAUUUCAAAUUCUCUAGUUCCUACAUUCCAAAAAUACAAUGCACCAAUUCUAUGCAUGAGUUUUCUUCAAGGGUAAAUUGUUUAAGAUGAUUUUCCAGUCCAUAUUGAAGUUUGAAUCGUGCAAUAAAUGUAAGUGGGAGUUGGUAAGACAUCUGGACCUUUGAAAAGACAUAUUGAUGAACAUCUGAGUAAUGUGAAUGGUGCCCCUUUGGUAGCUCUUCUUUUGUGUGUGUGUGGAGAAAAAAACAUUCCUUUAGGGAUGUACUGUUUGGGGCAAUUGAAAAAAUAUAUAUACAUGGAAAUGAUAAAGCUCUACUUAAGAGAAGCAUGGUGGGUUUGGGAAUUGAGCACUUUGGCUCCACAGAAAUUAAAUUUGGAGCUUGAUUUUUUUUUUUUUUUUUUGGCUAUGCUUAAAUGAAGGGUAUGAUAUUCCUUUAAGUUGUUUUCAGCGUUAAUGAAUUACAGCAAGGUUUAUUGGCAAUAGUAUGAAUUUGCUUCUCCAGUUGGCAAUGUUAUAAGCUUGUGAGAAGGCAAAUAACUACUUGUUAGUUUUCUUUGGAAUACUAUAAAUGUAAGUUGCCAUGAGUAUGAUACAUCUUACUGGUGGUUUCAUUUUUAUCUUGUUUCAAAUGUGUUUGUUAUUAAGUGGUUUUUCUGCAUUUUAAAAUGUCAUGUUAGCACUGCCCCUGAAGAAAGCCUCUUGUAGCCAAAAUGCGUUGGGCUCCAAUAAAUGGUUCACAGCACCUUGA